UACGGAGGGUGCAAGCGUUAUCCGGAUUCACUGGGUUUAAAGGGUGCGUAGGAGGGCGGAUAAGUCAGUGGUGAAAUCUUCGAGCUUAACUCGGAAACUGCCGUUGAUACUAUUUAUCUUGAAUAUCGUUGAGGUUGGCGGAAUAUAUCAUGUAGCGGUGAAAUGCAUAGAUAUGAUAUAGAACACCGAUUGCGAAGGCAGCUAACUAAGCGAUGAUUGACGCUGAGGCACGAAAGCGUGGGGAUCAAACAGG
rnacentral:rRNA from 1 species